rnacentral:rRNA from 1 species
UGAGGAACUUGCCCAUGAGCGGGGGACAACAUUCGGAAACGGAUGCUAAUACCCCAUAGGUGGAUUGGUCGCAUGACGAAUUCAUUAAAGGUGGCUCUGCUACCACUCAUGGAUAGCCUCGCGGCGUAUUAGCUAGUUGGUAAGGUAAUGGCUUACCAAGGCGACGAUACGUAGCCGACCUGAGAGGGUGAUCGGCCACACUGGAACUGAGACACGGUCCAG